rfam:Pteropus alecto contig164759, whole genome shotgun sequence.
ACCUUAUUUAAGCUCUAUGCUUAAAUGGCAGAAACUAGUAUCAUGUCUAAGUAAUUGUAAUAAAGCUAGCAGAGUAGACACAAAAAGAUAAACAGCUAUACCAGAUAGUAGAAAAACUAAGAUGAACCUCUUUCUUAAGUCCUUUGUUUUAAGACUAGUACAAUAAUA